GUCAUUCUUUUACGUGGCCACGAUCAACUUCUUGUUUCCAGGUAAUUUGAGCUUCACAACACACUGCUGCCUCCAAGCUUUCCCACCUGGUCCCAGCAGACGGCAGCCACACGGACAAGCAGCGGAGCUCCUUGCCUCAAGCCACAGGCCGCGAGCUAGGCCCGGGUGGAGCGAGGCCCAGGUGGAGCCAGGCCCCGCCCUCCACCAUCCCAGCAUGCUUUGGGCACAGGUUCCGCAGCAGCUGAAGAAUCCCAGGAGUGGCUGCACGCGAAGCGCUUGAUGUCCAUCUGUUGCUGACUUUGACUAGACCCCACUAAACACUCAGAGUGGAUGAAGAAAGAUGUGGAAUACUGAGGAAGGGGCAGAACUGAAGACAACAUUGUCCUGGCUCUGGACAUAUAAUUUUGUUUAACCUUCAAGUCAAGCCAAGGAUCCUCUGGUGUGCAAAUCACGACAGUGGAAUGAUGCAAUGGGGCAUAUGGACAAUGAAUCAGGUAAUAAAUUGAGUGUAACACUAAUUAUAUUCACUAUGAACUGAAAUAUAUACAUUUGAUGACCGUGAUGGCACACCAAUGUUCAAAGCCCAAGGUGAAAAAUGCAUUUCAACUUCUCUCUUUAUAAAAACUCAACAGCCUGCUACAGUCUGUGUCUGGCAUCAAAUUCUAUAUAUCUACCUGUGUUUUCAGUGUGGAAACCCAAUUC